rnacentral:sRNA from 1 species
UCUAAACUUCGUUUUGUAGUGGAAAUCCUUUUUCUUUUCUUUCACAUAAGGAAAAGAAAAAGAUUGCAACGGAAAGCGGGAUUAAGC